rnacentral:misc_RNA from 1 species
CGCACAUUGCGCCCUUUGGUAUUCCGAAGGGCAUGCCUGUUCGAGCGUCAUUACACCCCCUCAAGCCCUCCGGCUUGGUGUUGGACGGUUGGGUCAAGGUCCCCUUGACCCCCUCCCAAAGACAAUGACGGCGGCCUCGUUGGACCCCCGGUACACUGAGUUCUUCACGGGGCACGUACUGGACAUAGGGCCCACGGGACACGGUCUGCCUCCCCUCCAGGGAGAAUUUUUCUCAAGGUUGACCUCGGAUCAGGUAGGGAUACCCGCUGAACUUAA